ensembl:misc_RNA
CUGGCAGCCCUGGAGAAUGAAGUCCUCUAUUUAUGCACAGAACAGAUAGACCACAAGGACUAACAAGACAAGCUUCACUACUUUGCCUUGCAGAUGAAGGCUCUGACCCUGUUUUGGAAAGGACAACUUUCAGCUGCAGGCCUAGUUUGUUAUUUAUGCCCUCUGAUGCUUAUCCAUA